GUGUCAGACUAUCUGAAUUUUUAAUUCAAUGAUGAAAGAUUUUUGGGUACAAUCAAGUACUUGUUAAGUCGGUGUGUGAGUCUAGAUGGGAUUGACCCCUCCGAAUUAUAGGAAUAAAUGCAUCAGUAUAUUAUAAUUUAGUAAAAUCUUGACUAGAAUAAUUCAUGUGAUGGAUUUGAAAGAUUGAGAUACAAUAUGGUUGACUAUUCCAGGAUUGACAUUAAACCCUAGGUCACCUUGAGCAUUAGGAUCAAAAGGAUGAAUUAUAUGGUAACCA
rnacentral:lncRNA from 1 species